GGGGUCGCGGGGGGCCAGGGCCAAUGAGAAAGCUCCAAGCACAAGAGGGAACACGCAUCAGUUGCCCGGAGUUUUCUUAAAAUUCUCGGACAGACUCACUUUCUUUAAUGUACAUUAGGGUACCUGUGCACUUGCCAGGCGGGGAAGGAAAAAGGAAAUUUAGGAGUCAAGGGAGAUGGCAAGACAGCUGUGCACUCAUUCGUUAUUUACCAGGCAAUAAUGAGAUAGGUUUUCAUUUUUCAAAAGAAGAAAGGCGCAAACUUUAUUAUACUCGCUUCAAUCUACUCUACUUUGGAGAAAAGGCCCUUCCUUCCCCUUGAAUUCUCCAAAAUGACUUGUUUUGGGUAAUCCUGCAAUCAACAGAACUAUAAAAGACCCUCUUCCACAAGCCAGUGAUCCAGUGAUUCCAAAAAUUUGUCUCAUUUGGAAUGUUUAAUCUAUUACCUCUUUCAGUGCUUGCCACUUCCAGAACCUAGAAAUUAUUUUCUCAAAGGACAUAUUGAUGAUGUAAAGCGUUCCACACCCAAAGUCUCCCACCACUUAAAGAAGGUUCUUCGAACUACUACCAAAAAUAUUACUGGAUUCUCCCCUCUCACUAAGAUUCAGCAUAGAGGGCUUUUUGUCUAAAUGAAAGAAAGAACCAAUUUGGAAGAACCUCAAAAGCUUUAGACUCAAUUUCAUUUUUUUCAGAGUGACUGCCCCAUACCUUUAACCAUACUGACUGUUCUAGGAAAGCAAGAGAAAAGGACUUGGGAAUCCAAAUCAAUGGCCACAAAGUAAAAACAAACUCAAUUUUUAACAAGCUGUUUUGUAAAAUAAAACAAAACAGAAACACCAACCCUCCCAAAAAACCAUCUGCGGACAUUUGAGUUCUG